CUGAAGAUAGGGAGUGCUCGAAGAGAACCGUAACACAGGUGCUGCAUGGCUGUCGCUAUGCUCGUGGUCGUGAGAUGUUGGGUUAAGUCCCGCAACGAGCGCAACCCUUGUCAUUAGUUGCUACGAAAGGGCACUCUAAUGAGACUGCCGGUGACAAACCGGAGGAAGGUGGGGAUGACGUCAAGUCCUCAUGGCCCUUAUGGGUAGGGCUUCACACGUCAUACAAUGGUACAUACAGAGGGCCGCCAACCCGCGAGGGGGAGCUAAUCCCAGAAAGUGUAUCGUAGUCCGGAUUGUAGUCUGCAACUCGAC
rnacentral:rRNA from 1 species